rnacentral:rRNA from 1 species
CGCCUACGGGGCGCAGCAGUAGGGAAUCUUCGGCAAUGGGCGAAAGCCUGACCGAGCAACGCCGCGUGAAUGAAGAAGUAUUUCGGUAUGUAAAGCUCUAUCAGCAGGGAAGAAACCCACCCUUUGGGGUGGCUGACGGUACCUGACUAAGAAGCCCCGGCUAACUACGUGCCAGCAGCCGCGGUAAUACGUAGGGGGCAAGCGUUAUCCGGAUUUACUGGGUGUAAAGGGAGCGUAGGUGGCAAGGCAAGUCAGAUGUGAACACCCGGGGCCCAACCCCGGGAGUGCAUUUGAAACUGUCUGGG